rnacentral:lncRNA from 1 species
ACUCUUCUCAACGGUUCCCUCUUCGGAAGGAAGCGCAGUCCGCAGCGUCGUCCGAGGGCGUGAUCGCCUGCGUCGCACCCGCGUCUCCAGUGGCCACCCCUUGUCCUACAGGAACGCGCAUCUGCUUAGCAGGCGCUGAGCCCUUGAGGAGGCCUAAAAUGAAUGAACGCGGCUGUGCCUCCUGAGCAGGCUCACAGUUGUGGGUGGGGGACAGAAGGGUGUCCAUGCCUAAGGUCGACGGCGAUAAGACAGACGUUCUUCCCAGGAGGAGAUCAGUUCCAGAACAGGUGGAGAGGUAUGAAGAACGAGGAACACUGCCCGGGGAGUUUCUUCCUCUGCAAAAUAAGGGAGUGUGUACUGAAUUACCGUUUCCAGCUCCAACAUCCAGGAUUUCAGCACUACCUGCAGAGUAGUGGGAGGAGAGAUAGAGGAAGAAGUGAAGAUAAGAAACCACUCGAAGCCGGUGUCUGGUGCUGGGACCGUGGUGGCUGGGACGGCAGCAGUCGUGCUGUCCAUCUGCUCUUCCGAGGGGUGGCACAUCCUAGCCUCUAUCUUUUCCCCAGAGAAGAUCCCCCUCGUCUGCUCUUCCCCCGUCUCAGCCUUUUAGUGUGUGAACAGUUCUGGUGUUACUCAGCAACGCUUUUGUUAGCGCCUUUACCAGCAAGUACUUGUUAAACACUUAAAUCUUACAAGUGGAAAGAAAAUUCCGUGGUAAAUUUAAGUACAAAAGUCAACCAAAAUUCUGAGUCUCGGACAAGACUGGUUAAAAAUCGUUCUACAAUGAAACUAAUAAAUUAAAUCAUAUAAAACUUUUA